AGUGAACGCUGGCGGCAGGCCUAACACAUGCAAGUCGAGCGGCAGCGCGUCCGACCACCCUCGGGUGGUCGGAUGGCGGCGAGCGGCGGACGGGUGAGGAAUGCAUCGGAAUCUGCCUCGUUGUGGGGGAUAACGUAGGGAAACUUACGCUAAUACCGCAUACGACCUACGGGUGAAAGUGGGGGACCUUCGGGCCUCACGCGAUGAGAUGAGCCGAUGCCGGAUUAGCUAGUUGGCGGGGUAAAGGCCCACCAAGGCGACGAUCCGUAGCUGGUCUGAGAGGAUGAUCAGCCACACUGGAACUGAGACACGGUCCAGACUCCUACGGGAGGCAGCAGUGGGGAAUAUUGGACAAUGGGGGCGAACCCUGAUCCAGCCAUGCCGCGUGUGUGAAGAAGG
rnacentral:rRNA from 1 species